rnacentral:lncRNA from 1 species
UAACUUACACAUUCUGAUUAAAGAGCAACGAAUGAACCCAGCCGGCACACGACCGACCUUCAACGUUGAAAUAUGGUUGAAAUAAGGUCAGAUGUGUUUUGAACGUUGAAAUAAUGUUGAUAGAACGUUUAAUGUUGAACGGUUGAAAAACAGCCUGCAUAUGACAAGGCUUCAACGUUGAAAUGUGGUUGAAAAUACGUCAGUUGUUGCUUUAAUGUUGAAACAAUGUUGAAUGAUAAAUGGUUGAAAAAAGUUACAGAAAUCCUUGUACAAAUCAACGUUGACAUUUUUUUUUAUCAUGAUCUGUAUGUUGAAUUAACGUCAUGGCUUCACCCAAUAUUCAACAUGUUUGGUUACCAUGGUAUCGGAGGACUCUGCGCACGCGGCCGCGCGCAGCGCUUCACUUCACUUAAUUACGAACACCUGACCUGCAGUGCAGCAGAAUUCAGAGACAUGUAACUUAACGUACUCCAGAGACGCACUAACUUGCACAGCAUUGAAUGGAAAAGGCUUUGUCCAUGUCCAGUUGAGGGCAUCAAGAACACGCAGAUAGCCUAUACCUGUGUCUGCCUGGACAGACUGCAGUUCUGCUACUCCACGCCAAGGCUUUUGUAUGGAUGCCUGACUACUACAGUGUUCUCUAAAGGUUUUCUGGAAGCUCCAUUUGAGGGCAUCAAGGACAUACUGAUGGCCUAAACCAGUGUCAGCCUAGACAGACAGACAUCUAUUGCAGUUCUGCUACACAAGACCAAACUCUCUGCUUUUGUAUGGAUGUCUGACUAGUACGGUGUUCUCUAAAGGUAUAACUGGAGCAAAGCAACAGCAUCCGUUACAGUGAAAUUUGUGUUCAUAAAAGAUAGUGAUAUAUGUGUAACAGGUCCAGUACAUUUGUCAUAAAGGUUAAAUCACAGUAAGUACUGUAAAAAUAACUUGUUUGCCUCUGCCACAACAGGUCAUGGUGUGUGCUUACUGCUCGUAGUAAACGCACACGCUGAUCUGAUGCGGGAGAGAUAUAUGCAAACAUAUUUGUAUUUACUGUUUUGUUUUGCCUCACUAAAGUGUUGUUGGAGCUUGGUAUGUUCACAGUUGAAAUCACUGAAGUCACAUGGAACGUUUUGACAAUGUGUUUUGUGCCUUAUCUGGACAAUGACCAUCUUGGGACCAUUGCUGUCUGUAGAGGAUGAGGAGCAUUUAAUCUAAAAUAUUUUAGUUUGUGUUCUGAAGAUUAACAGGUCUCUGGGAUGACACAAGUAAUUAAUAACAGAACCUAUAUGAACACUUAAUGUGACAUGUAAUAGUGAAAUAGUGGUCCUACAUUCACAAAUGUGAGCCAUUAUUAUAAGACCCAUGUGAACAUGCAAUUUUUAUGAUACUAGUAAUAAUGGAAUAACAAAUUGCUAUUACUGUUGUGUUUGUGAGAGAGAAUCAAACCAUAUAUUCUACACAUUUUCUUGAUGAUUUACUGAAAUAUUUGUCUACAUGUUCCACUGUCACAGGUGCUCAGUUUUGCUGCAGUAAUGCUAAACACAAUAGAUGUACUUUAUGCAAAAAAAAAAAAGAAAA